GUGCAAGCUUCCAGAAUGCUUGGGUGGAGGUUGACUGUGUGUAUUUCUACAGUGCUUUCAAGAAUAGGAUAAAAUGGUUUGAGGCCUUAUCCUGGACCAUCCAGAGUAAGUUCAUAAACAUUUCAGACAACU